GAUAUUUCGUCCAUACAAUGAUAGGUACUUAAGAAUGUUAUUUCAUUCCCUUUGCUAAUCAAUCUGAAUUUGUUUGAACUGAUAAUCUAUGAAGAAAUGAAUUGUUUUGGUCAAUAAUGGAACUAAAACUUCAAGAUCGGAAGGGUCAGGUGUAAGGGUCAUGAUGAAAAAACUUUUUAAGAUUUCAAGAGUUUAAUGGAAACUUCACAAUCCAAUAUCCAUGAAUCUUAAAUUGCUAUCAUUCUAAUUUAUAAUCUCACUUAAGUCAUCAAUGUCUUGAGAGUUUGUAUCUGAAUCAUGCUUUUGUUUUCUUGAACCUUUUAGAAGUCCUGAUUUUGGCUGGAAAAUAGAAUUUGGGAGUGACUGAAGUUGCUUUUGUCUUUUAAAGAGCAUUUUCUUCUUACAUGAGCUAAUGCUUAUCAUCUUCAUGGUCCUUUUGUGUUUCUGGAGUUGUUCAUCAAUUUAAGUUUGAUUAAAGAGUAUUGAGUUCUGAAUUUUUGAAUCUGCAGUUAUUUUCCAUGCUAAUGUCUUAUUUUACAUUUGUUAAAUUUUUUUCCCAUGAUUCAUUAUUCCAGAUCUUUUGGGAUGAUCA
rnacentral:misc_RNA from 1 species